rnacentral:rRNA from 1 species
UACGUAGGGUGCAAACGUUGCUCGGAAUCAUUGGGCGUAAAGCGCACGUAGGCGGUCUGUUGCGUCGGCUGUGAAAACCCGGGGCUCAACUCCGGGCCUGCAGCCGAUACGGGCAGACUAGAGUUCGGCAGGGGAGACUGGAAUUCCUGGUGUAGCGGUGAAAUGCGCAGAUAUCAGGAGGAACACCGGUGGCGAAGGCGGGUCUCUGGGCCGAUACUGACGCUGAGGAGCGAAAGCGUGGGGAGCGAACAGG